rnacentral:rRNA from 1 species
GACGAACGCUGGCGGCGUGCCUAAUACAUGCAAGUCGAGCGAAUCAAUAGGAGCUUGCUCCUGUUGGUUAGCGGCGGACGGGUGAGUAACACGUGGGCAACCUGCCUGUAAGACUGGGAUAACACCGGGAAACCGGUGCUAAUACCGGAUAAUCCUUUUCCUCUCAUGAGGAAAAGCUGAAAGUCGGUUUCGGCUGACACUUACAGAUGGGCCCGCGGCGCAUUAGCUAGUUGGUGAGGUAACGGCUCACCAAGGCGACGAGGCGUAGCCGACCUGAGAGGGUGAUCGGCCACACUGGGACUGAGACACGGCCCAGACUCCUACGGGAGGCAGCAGUAGGGAAUCUUCCACAAUGGACGAAAGUCUGAUGGAGCAACGCCGCGUGAGCGAUGAAGGCCUUCGGGUCGUAAAGCUCUGUUGUUAGGGAAGAACAAGUACCGGAGUAACUGCCGGUACCUUGACGGUACCUAACCAGAAAGCCACGGCUAACUACGUGCCAGCAGCCGCCGUAA